CAUGACUUGCAUUGGUCGCGCUGUUACUAGCGGUGUUAGCGCAGUUAGACCGUUCGCCAGAGAAGCCUGGCUCGUCUUUGGCGACAACUCGAGAAGCUACCAUCCUAAUGAAGAGAUUCAAGACCGUCUAUACAGUCUCGGCGAUACCAUACAAAAAACAUUGGAUAGAGAAAAAAUAGUAAAACAUGAGACAUCCGCGCAUGAGGAGUCCUUAGUUCUAAGAUAAUUCAAGUAAGACAAUGUUCGAGGAUCCAGGACUUUCUUUCUUCGGCCGCAAGACGUCCCGCAAAGAACGCUGGAUCUCCGAGCAUGAAGUAACCGAGUCCACGUGCAGAUGCUAUAACUAUGCAGAAAGGAUCUCUACAUACGUGUGUAUCACGCCGUGGUGUUUUUAGACGUGAUAUAGAAGAGGCCAGAGGGCUGCUCUAAAUAAAUGGAUUUUUGUUUGUACGUCUUUCCGCUGCUUUUAGGAGAUACACAAAUUUCCGUCUUCAGGAUUAUAGAAAAACACCACUACAUAACACAGCUUACACUGUCUGAGAUCUGCCAUAUCUGUUUAAUGACUUAUUUCAUUUACAAAACAGCGAUAAUCCUUUAAUAGCCAGAAAUGUGUUAAGUCGAUCAGACAUUCCAUUCAUAAAUAAAAAUAAACUCUAUUUUAAAAUUGCA